rnacentral:rRNA from 1 species
AGCGAACGCUGGCGGCAGGCUUAACACAUGCAAGUCGAACGAACUCUUCGGAGUUAGUGGCGGACGGGUGAGUAACACGUGGGAACGUGCCUUUUGGUUCGGAAUAACUCAGGGAAACUUGUGCUAAUACCGAAUGUGCCCUUCGGGGGAAAGAUUUAUCGCCAUUAGAGCGGCCCGCGUCUGAUUAGCUAGUUGGUGAGGUAACGGCUCACCAAGGCGACGAUCAGUAGCUGGUCUGAGAGGAUGACCAGCCACACUGGGACUGAGACACGGCCCAGACUCCUACGGGAGGCAGCAGUGGGGAAUCUUGCGCAAUGGGCGAAAGCCUGACGCAGCCAUGCCGCGUGAAUGAUGAAGGUCUUAGGAUUGUAAAAUUCUUUCACCGGGGACGAUAAUGACGGUACCCGGAGAAGAAGCCCCGGCUAACUUCGUG